UACGUAGGGUGCGAGCGUUGUCCGGAAUUAUUGGGCGUAAAGAGCUCGUAGGCGGUCUGUCGCGUCGAUCGUGAAAACUUGGGGCUUAACCCUGAGCUUGCGGUCGAUACGGGCAUGACUGGAGUUCGGCAGGGGGAGACUGGAAUUCCUGGUGUAGCGGUGAAAUGCGCAGAUAUCAGGAGGAACACCGGUGGCGAAGGCGGGUCUCUAGUACGGUACUGACGCUGAGACGCGAAAGCGUGGGGAGCGAACAGG
rnacentral:rRNA from 1 species